rnacentral:rRNA from 1 species
UAUCUCUGUAGAGUCUGCAUAUCAAUAAGCGGAGGAAAAGAAACUAACUAGGAUUCCCUCAGUAACGGCGAGUGAAGCGGGAAGAGCUCAAAUUUGAAAUCUUCAAGGUUCUACCUUGACGAAUUGUAGUUUAAAGAAGUGUUUUCCGUUGGAGUUUUGGUAAAAGUUCUUUGGAAUAGGACAUCAUAGAGGGUGAGAAUCCCGUAUUUGACCAUUAUUUCCAGCUUUGUGAUACACUUUCAAAGAGUCGGAUUGUUUGGGAAUGCAGUCCAAAAUGGGUGGUAAAUUUCAUCUAAAGCUAAAUAUUGGCGAGAGACCGAUAGCGAACAAGUACCGUGAGGGAAAGAUGAAAAGAACUUUGAAAAGAGAGUUAAACAGUACGUGAAAUUGUCAAAAGGGAAGCGUUUGACACCAGUGUUGUUUUCUUGAAAAUCAAUUAAAAAAGGCAGGAUUUUGUGUUGUAUUGACUUUAUCAGCUUUCUGCACUCUUUUCUUGUCUUUUUUAAUGCACUUUUCGUUUAACAAGUCAACAUCAAUUUCUUUUGUUGUAAAAGGGUCAUUGGAAGGUGGCUUUCUUUUCGGAGAAAGUGUUUAUAGCCUUUGGCCUCUGCAAUCGGAGAGAUUGAGGUCUGCAGCGUAGAUCCUUCGGGGCUAGAUACAUUAGAUGCUAAGUUAUAGCCUUUCAUAGACAACUUGUUGACUAUGAUCAGUCAUGUAGCUUACUCGCUUAUGCUAUUUUACCUACGCUUAGGAUGUUGAAGUCAUCGUAUCGCG